UACGUAGGGGGCAAGCGUUAUCCGGAUUUACUGGGUGUAAAGGGAGCGUAGACGGCUGUGCAAGUCUGGAGUGAAAGGCAUGGGCUCAACCUGUGGACUGCUUUGGAAACUGGUUGACUUGAGUGCAGAAGAGGGAAGUGGAAUUCCAUGUGUAGCGGUGAAAUGCGUAGAGAUAUGGAGGAACACCAGUGGCGAAGGCGGCUUCCUGGUCUGCAACUGACACUGAGGCGCGAAAGCGUGGGGAGCAAACAGG
rnacentral:rRNA from 1 species